ACAAACAAUCAGUCAGACCACAAAUAAAUAAUUGUUAAGGCAAAUAAAUGACAAUAGCAACAACAAAAACAUCAAACGGAGUGUACUUGCAAACAAUUGUUACAAUUGCAAUAAAAAUCUCCUCUGAAAUGUGUUUAUGAAUGCAAGCAUGUGGGGAACAACAGCAACAAAGCACAGUGGUGGCAAACAAGCAAAUUGCAACACAUACAGACAACAACUGCAUAUUGGCUGGAGUGACAUUAGCAAUAAACCAUGGACAGAAUGACAAUUGUUGCAGCCACAAUAAAAAAAAAGUUGAAAAUAAUUGGAAUAUAAUAAAAUAAACAGCAAUGAAUAUGGUAUAUAUGUGGCAAAGAAGAAUUUAGCGAGUGGUGAGGGGUGUUGGAAGAAAAAUAGUUAGCAUUUUGUCACCCGAAAUGAUCGAAGAGAUAUAACUGAAAAAGUGAAGCAAUUGAGAUUGAUUGCUGCAACAAAACUGAGCAAUAACGGCGCGCAUGUGCGAGUCUGUUUGCCACAGCAGCGUGUGUUGCACGUUGAACAAGCGCGACACAAUCAACCCGGGCUGGUUGCUAGCAAUUCAACGGCGACCAUUUCUACAUGAAAUUUAGCAACUACUGGCAGUGGCACACACAACUACUAGUUACAGCAACAACAACAACAUAUAUAUAAUAGCAGCGACAGCAAUAAAGCAUGCAACAACAACGAUGGAAACGAUAAUUUGUCACAGCUGCGUGGGCAGUUUGCUUUACGAAAUUACUCCUUUCUUGCCUGAGACGGACCAACAAAAAAGACAGCUAGAUGAUGCAGCUGACAUGCUGCCUAGUGUUGUCCGCCUGCCACUCAGCCGCCUUUCAGGGCAAAACUGUGUGCUUGCCACCAACCUCUGAUCUGAAUUUUAUGUUUAGGCGCUGCUGAGGUCUAAUGAAAUGCGUUCAACUUAUAAAUUGUUGUUGGUUUUGCAGUUGUUUUGACUUCAACUUUCUGGUGGUUGUUGCGAAUAUCUUGUUACUGCUGUUGUUGUUGAUUGGCCGACAGACACGCACGUUGAUUUCUGCACAGUUGAAAUGUUGAUUUACGGUGACUGCUCGAGGGUAGAUGUGAGUUAAACGCCCCAUGCAAUGCUGUGGCACUGUUGCAUUUUACAUUACAACUUCCGCAAAUGCUGCUGCGAAUGGUGAAGCGGAUAUGGUCUAUGAGGCGUAAGGGUGUCAGCGUUACAUUGCUCAAAUAACACAUCUAAUAUAUUUUGGAAAUUAUUAUUUUUUGUUGUUGUAAACUGUUUCGUCGCAGUCAGUUGUUGUGUACAUUUACCCCCUGUUAUAGUUUUGUUUAUCAAAAUUUUGUGGACUUGUCCAUAGGUGCGCGCUUGUUGGUAAACCACUUGUUGCUUAAGUAUAAUCGCAACGAAACACCAGCAGAUAACUUGCUGAGAUAAGAUCAACAAAUUUGUAAAUUCGCUAAUAUGUGCAGUUAAAUUAUUUCAAUAAACUUGUAGGCAA